CACGGCCAGAGCCCGGCCAUGCGCCGCUGAGGGACGGUCAUGGCCUCGGCUGCAGCGGCGGUGCCCGGCCGCACAUAGUGGACUUCGUCAGAAAUAACAACCCAAGCCCUCAGGAACAGGAAGGACUCAUCGGGGUGGAGACUGAAGGCACAUUGUGGACUAAGCCGGUACUUCUUGCCGCCUGCUGAAGGAAUCAGUCAGCCGAGAUCUAAAGAAGAGAUGUAACCCACCUGUCACUGGCACUAAAUAAACAUGUAAUUCUGUU